UUAAUCCUGCCUCGACGAGUUGAGGUCGGUUGCAAGCUUCAAUACAUUUAUGAAAUUGAUAUUAAAGCUACCAACCGGCUUCAAAUCGAAAAGUGCGU
rnacentral:pre_miRNA from 13 species